UACGUAGGGUGCAAGCGUUACUCGGAAUAACUGGGCGUAAAGGGUGCGCAGGCGGAUUUGCAAGACAGAUGUGAAAGCCCUGGGCUUAACCUGGGAACUGCAUUUGUGACUGCAAGUCUAGAGUAUGGCAGAGGGAGGUGGAAUUCCAUGUGUAGCAGUGAAAUGCAUAGAGAUAUGGAGGAACACCGAUGGCGAAGGCAGCCCCCUGGGCUAACACUGACGCUCAGGCACGAAAGCGUGGGGAGCAAACAGG
rnacentral:rRNA from 1 species